CAAGCCUAGCAAGUAGCAACCCAACAAUUGCUCCCAACGUCGUUUUGCUUGAUGCCUUUCACGGACCUCAACCGUCUGAAAAAUACUGCUCAAGCACAUAAGCUCGACACUUUGAAGAAAACGGCUUUGACUCUCAAAUUGGUAAUUCGAUCACUCAAUUUUUCCAGUUCUCAAUCCAAUUCCAGUUUGUAGAAUUGAAAGAUGGAUGAUAUUUUGGUAGCUGUGCUUUCGAUGCUACUUAUAUUUGGUUUAGUUCCGUUGUUUUUAUGGAAACGUCGUCAGGAUUCUAAAGCUGCCGAUAGGCAUGAAGAAGAGCCUCAGGUUCCUCAAAGGGAAAAUGUGGUUCGCGCUACUGGGGCUCGUCGUAUGCGUCGUAGGCCAGCAGCCAGGGCUAGUACAUCUACAGCUGCAGCAGCUGUUGAAGAAUUAGGUGAUGAGAGUGAUGAUGAAGAUGCUGAGGUUGAGAAUGAAGCUCGGGGAGGAAGGAAAAAAGAUAAGAAACGACAAGAACGUGAAGCACAAAGACAGGCUGAACAAGCUUCACGUGACUCAAGGCUAGCCAAGCAAGAUCGUUAUGCAGAAUCGCGAAGAAGAAAAGAUGAGGAACGUGAAGCAGAAGAGCGACGAAUGGAAGAGGAAGCUAAGGCUCGGCAAGCUAAGGAAGAAGCUGCCGCUGCAUUAGAGUUUGAAAAGUGGAAAGGGGCAUUCUCAAUUGAUGCUGAAGGCACCACAGAAAAUGAGGCUCAAGAGAACCAGGAUCUACUUUCUGACUUUGUGGAAUACAUUAAGAAGCAGAAGUGUGUACCCCUGGAAGACCUGGCUGCAGAGUUUAGGUUGAGGACUCAGGAGUGUAUCAAUCGUAUCACAGCUCUAGAAAAUAUGGGAAGACUUUCAGGAGUCAUGGACGAUAGGGGAAAGUACAUAUAUAUCUCACUUGAAGAAAUGAAAGCUGUUGCUGAUUAUAUAAAGCGAGAAGGCAGGGUUAGCAUCUCACAUUUGGCGAGCAAAUCCAACCAGUUCAUUGACUUGGAGCCCAAAGUCCAGUAUGAGGAAAUCACCAGUGUAGAUGAGAUUUUAGCUGUUUGAUUAUGCACUUAGUUUAUGGAAAAAUCAUAUUGCCCGACUUACAAUGAUAGCAGAAGAGCAGCAGGAAAUAUGAAAGAAAAUAUCAAAUUACUUUGAUUGCGACUUCAAAGUUCUUGAACUCAUCCAGCUCAAACAUCAACAACUGCUCCACAUGUACGACAGACUAUGGUUUCAGUUAACAACAUACCUUUAUACAUAUGCGCUACCUUAGGAGACUAGGAGAGGGGAGAGAUAUAAAAGGGACCAGCGUGACGAGGAGAGAAAUAUUUAGAAUCAUUGUCCAAUAAAGUAAUUCUGGCGAUUUUCCAGAAAAGAAUUCAUUGCAAUUAAUAGAACAGAUUUAUAGGAAAGAUUUCUAGCCAAAACCGCAAUUUUGGUUUUAUGGGAUGAGUUAAUUUUGAAACUUGUAAUUUUUUCAUGCUUAGAAAGAAAGAAUUGAUAGAGGUGGGAAAACUUAUACCUAUAGUGAUCUGUAUUCAAGAUGAACUAGUAUAAAUAAUACUUCCUCCGUUAUUAAA